UUCUGGAGGGUGGGACGUUAAAGGAAGACAUUUUAAGAAUCAAAGAGUCUUAGCUGUGUUUAUUGGGGUAGAGCCCUUGGGUGCAGAAACAUUUAGGGAUUCGGGAGAAAAAAGGGAUGAUGUUUGAAGGAGGCAGGAGGGAAGUGGACGGUGUCAGGAGGUUCAGCUCCUCCCCUGGAAUGGGGAACCCUGAAGAUUUGAAAUGGAUGUGGGAGCUCCAGACAGAUGGCUUCCAUGUUCCAAGUAAAGUACAACUUGAAGUACGACGUGAUGGUGUUUGACAUUUAACAGAUGUCAUCUGUUCUCUGCAGAGUCACUCAGCAGCCUCCCCUGUUGCAGACACCUCCUUAGGUUUGGAACACACUGUCUAUACAGGGCCUAAGUGCAGGAUUUUGGUGUGUUCCUUAUUUCAUUUAUUUUUGUUUAACUUGUGGCAGAUAAAUACAGGUUAUCAAAAGAAUGGGACAAUGAGUAAGCACACACCAAACUAAACAAAACAAAACAAAUAGAAACAUCACAAGUCUUGAAUUUUUUUUUUUUUUUUUUUUUUUUUUUUUUUUUUUUUGGUCAAAGAAAGAACUCAUUGGUUGAUUUAAGUCGGUGGUAAAUCAGAAAGUUGAAAAUAAAUCACCCUCCUUCUCCAGGGUUCUUCCGGAUAGUUCAACUCUAAAUUCAGCUGAGAGUAUUUCUGAUGCUCAAAGAAAAGUGUCUUAAACUCUGAUGUUUUAAUGUAGUUAAAAAAAACACAAAAAAUCUUUGCUGAGGCCCAAGCUGAGGUCAAAAACUACCUCUAGCCAUCUGGUGCUUUAUUUUUAUUGAUUAGAAGUCUCUGAUAAGACUGAUUUGAAUGUGAUUUAGGAAUAUCACAUUCUAAAUGGUCAGUUUGCCUAUUCCAUUAUAGAAAUGACACUACGGGAAAAUUCAUCAUCACAGACCACAGCAGAAGUGUUCUUUAGUUAAAGCUCUACCUAGUCAUCCAGAAAGCCAGUAAGUAAACCAAAUAAAAAUAGUUCACUGGGCUCAGAGUGGCAAGUUUUGCAUGCAAAGAUCGUGAAAAUUGUAACCCUAACAAUAAAUCCAAUACUGUUCUCGACUCUCUUGUGUGUCCAGUGCUGCUGCAGUCCUUGGAAGGCUUUUAAACUGUUCAGAGCUUGCUGGUUAUCUUCAGCCAAGCCAGAGAGUGGGAGUGCAGUGCAUUUUAGUGUAACCAUGCGGAACUGGUCGCUCCUUGAUUUUGUGCCGUAUGUUUCCAUUUGUGUAGGCUUUUUCCCCCCUCAGUAUUUUGUUGCUUAUCCUUUAGAGCGAAAUUGGUUUUUCCUCGGCCAAUAAUCUGUUUCUUUAAAAAAAGAAAAAUUCGUUACCUAUUGCCUUUUUUUCUGGUCUUCCUGAGCAAGCCAGAAGUCACAAGGUCGUUUACUAAACGGAAACUAAGAAAAAGAAAAGCCACAUCAGCCGGCACAAGCCUCUCUAACUUGUGUGCCCUGAGGCUCAUCAGAUGCGAAGUCCUGGCGACAAGAUAGGGUCGCCCGCAGUGGCUUCCUAAAGCGCAGAUCCAGGCCGGCUCCCAGCGUGGAAUCCGACCCAUGUACUUCGCCUCUCCACGUGGCAUCAGAUGCUCUGCCGGCUGUCACCGUGAACUCCAGCCCUCGCGGAGCCGACACUGACCUGGCUACUUCAGAGUUCGGAGGGAAAUAGCGUCUCCGUACCCUCGCCCCACCUGGGCUGCUCCUCGGACCGCCGCUCGUCCCAGACUCCAGGAGGCGCCACCAGGCCUCGCUGACCC
rnacentral:lncRNA from 1 species